rnacentral:lncRNA from 1 species
AGUUUAAACCCUAACAAACAUUGUAAUCGGGGCUCUUGAGCCUCUUGCCCAAGCCUGCUUGUGCUUUAUAGAGUGUACUUUCACUUAAAUAAAUCUGUGCUUGUAUUGCUUAUGGCGUUGCUUCAUUCUUUUGUCACUUUGUGCAUUUUGUGUUGCUCUGUUUGUGCACUUUGUUCAAUUCUUUGUUCAACGUGCCAAAAACCUGGAAAACUCAUAGUCAAGACUUUCCAUCUGGUGGAAACCUCUCGGUGUUCAGUCAAGAAGCCAUUGGAGGAUCACUUAGGAAAGGAUCAAGAGCCCUGAUGUUGUCUGAAGCUUUCCGUGGAUAUCUUACGGUAGGAGCAAGAAUGCACUGAAAUUGGUUUAGAUGCUUUCAGGUGGCUCACACUGUUAAAGAAUGUCUUUCCCCAGCUGAAGCCCAAACCCACCUGGUCUCACCCCUUGGAGACACACAGGCAGACCUAACUCUCAGCUAAGCCAGAGGUUCUCAACCCAGACUGCACAUUAAAAUAAAUUAGCAAGUUUUACAUCACAUGUUCUCACUUAUUUGUGGGAUCUAAAAAUCAAAACGAUUGAACUCAUGGACAUAGAGAGUAGAAGGAUGGUUACCACAGGCUGGAAAGGGUACUAGGGACCUGAGAGGGAGGUGGGGUUGGUUAAUUGGCACAAAAAAGAAUAGUUACAAGGAAUGAAUAAGACCUACUAUUUGAUAGCACAACAGGUGACUAUAGUCAAUAACUUAAUUGUACAUUUAAAAAUAACUAAAAGAGUGUAAUUGAAUUGUUUGUAACACACAGGAUAAAUGCUUGAGGGAACAGAUACCCCAUUCUCCAUAAUGUGAUUAUUUCACAUUGCAUGCCUGUAUCAAAACAUCUCAUGGCUAGGUGCGGUGGCCUUAGCGAAAACAGUGCGAAGGAAGCAGUGUCACAACGCUCAUGAUCGCACAUCAGUGGUUCUUAUCCUGAUGACAGGGGCAGGGCCUGAGCUUUUUAGAAAGUUCCUGAGGCGAUUCUAACGUGCAGCCAGAGGUGAGAAAC